UUUUUCAGCUAUUAGUCAAAAGUGGGGUGUUGUUGGUCCAAAUUUCAAGCACAAUUAUUUAUUAUGCAUGAAAGAAUUGCUUUGUACUUUCUUUGAUAACCAAUUUUAUUUUAUGAGUGCUUCAUGCUAACCAAAAUUCUUUAUUAUUAUUUUAUAUGAUUUUGUUUUACUUGCUUAUUUUUAACUAGUUUUCUUGUCCUAUUUCAAAAUUUGUUUCCUAAAUUACCUUUGAUAAAAAGUUCCUCACAUACAUUCUUAUCCAAGUAAAGAUUUUCUUAAUCAUUGCUUUUAUUAAUAACUUUAUAUUUGAAUUAUUUCUUCAUUUUUUACUAGCACAUUCAAAUCUUUAAAUAUCUCUUUUCCCGUAUUUAUCACUAGUAAGAGUACUCUUAGACAUAAGAUUGAUUCAGAGGCCCUCCAAAAUUAAUCUAUAUCAUUAGUGUAAACAUAUUUAAACAAAAGCAGAAGAAACUUUGGAUAAGUUUCAGAUAUUGCAUUGUAAUGAAUUAAUACAAUAUAAAAUUUGAAAUAUCAUGAUGAGACAAAAUAAUUUAUUAAUGAUGAAAAUUUUCAUCAACUGAAAUACUUACAGGAUUGAUGGACUUCGUAUAAUUGUUGAAGAUUUGAAUUCUCUGAACUAGAGAUGAUAUGCUUAUUGGGUAUAAUUCUAAUAUGGUACAAUUCUAAAGAAAUUGAAGGAAAAAAUAAUAGAUGUUUUUCUAUUCUAAUAAUCCAAAAGUAGUUUGAAUUAUUACCUAACAAUUAUUGUCUCGAGAGUCGAGACUUGAGAGAUGCCUUGGAGUUUUGGACAGAGAUUUUCUUCACUUCUCAAGACCUGUUUUUCU
rnacentral:lncRNA from 1 species